CAUCACACGCAGUAUUAGGGUUAUGUUUCCCACGCGACAAUGGAGGUCCCUCGGAGUACGAUUAUCACUGGCCAAUCCCUGGUGAAAGCCACCGCCAUUCGCGUCGAUUUGCUUGCAGCUCUUCUCACCUGCCUUCUGAGACCGACACCGUUACGAAACUUUACUGGAUUCAAUUAUUGUCAUUAAAAUUCUAAUUAAUUUUCAUCUCCCAACUCCUUCCACGAUUUGACAUUCAAUACUAAGAAGAGUAGGAGUAAGAAGAAGCGAAAUGGCUAAGUGAAGUAUGAGAGUGGGGAAGAGACUUCUUAUGAGAAGGAGGGUUAGUAGUAAUGAAUAAGUAUUAUUGUAUAAAGCUAUGUCGUUUUACUUAUUGCACUCUAUUAAAAGGGGGAGUGUCCCUUAUGGAAACCUUAUCUAAUGAUCAAAUAACAAACAAUAUUCUCUCUUAUCCCUUUCUCUCUCUAUUCUCUCCCCUUUCUUGUGACAAGAUAAGCGCUUGCUUAUCAAGAGACUUAGACAGCUGGCUAGCGAAGAACAUGUCAGUGUCUUUUGUUUUGUUUCUGUAUCAGGAGGCGCCGUGAUGUGAAGAUGGUAGACUCAUCAAAGACAGAAAGCGACUCUCAUACAUGCCACCGUGAAUGUCCACUGUCUGACCACUUUCAGACAUCACCUCACACGGGUUCCAUGUUCUUCGUCAGCGGAUUUGAUGUGACUGGGUGCAACCAUAACUUCAGGCUCUCAGGCUCUCAGACUCUCCUCUGGCAAUCUGAUUCAGUGAUUCCACCACUCUGGAUGAGAUGACCGAACCGGUGAACCCCAUUCCUGAAGAACGGUUCAGAUCGGCAAUCACAGUGAGUUGCUUGGUCUAGCCAACACAAAACCCACCUUCCAGACAUAAUUGGUGAGCUCACUGCUGUGAAGAGCAAUGUAUGUGGCCCUCCACAGGGAAAAGAACGUGUGAUGGCAGCCAUCAAAAUCGAUAAGUAACUUAGGCCUUUAGAACUUUCAUAAAUGAUGGAAUUUAGUUUUCAUAAUAGAGCAUGUGCAAUUCAUAUUCUGUUUUCUCCUUGGCAGUACGUCACUGUGAAACUUAGUUUGUUUGACUCGCAAUCUGUUGCGUUUCACAACAAACUAAAAACCUUACGAGGUGAGGUUGUAGUUUGCUCCUCUGUUCUACUUGCUGAUUUGAACAUAUAUAGAUGUAUCACUUGGAAAGGUAGUUUCUUCCCUUAAACCAAAGACUAUCAUCAUUAUUUGUUUACAGGAGUGAUUUUCAGAGGCUGAUGAGAUCAAACAGCUUGAGGAACUAAAGUAUGGACUGGCGUUGUUUUCUCGGCUUUUAGUUUAAGUUUAUUUUGUGCAGAAUAGUAUUUGUUGCUUUGAUCAUCUCCUUGCAUUUUGAUGUGACUAAGUGUGUAACUCUCAGGAGUAUCUUUGUGAUUUGUUUUUUUUAAUGGAAUGUACCAUUUCAUAAUUGUAAUGCUUACUUCUUUCUUUAAUAUAUGGAUGAGAUGUGACCAAA